rnacentral:rRNA from 1 species
CCUACGGGGGGCUGCAGUGAGGAAUAUUGGUCAAUGGACGGAAGUCUGAACCAGCCAUGCCGCGUGCAGGAUGACUGCCUUAUGGGUUGUAAACUGCUUUUAAUCAGGAAGAAAUGUGCCCACGAGUUGGGUACUUGACGGUACUGUUUGAAUAAGGAUCGGCUAACUCCGUGCCAGCAGCCGCGGUAAUACGGAGGAUCCAAGCGUUAUCCGGAAUCAUUGGGUUUAAAGGGUCCGUAGGCGGAUAGAUUAGUCAGCGGUGAAAGUUUGUGGCUUAACCAUAAAAUUGCCGUUGAUACUGUCUAUCUUGAAUAAGUGUGAAGUGGUUAGAAUGAGUAGUGUAGCGGUGAAAUGCAUAGAUAUUACUCGGAAUACCAAUUGCGAAGGCAGAUCACUAACACUUUAUUGACGCUGAGGGACGAAAGCGUGGGGAGCAAACAGGAUUAGAUACCCCAGUAGUC